rnacentral:lncRNA from 1 species
AGCAAGAGAAAAUCUAGUGACUGAAAAAGAAUAAGAAGAAAAACACUGACCAAGAUAAUAAUCCCAAGAAGUCAAAAAUUAAGACCUGAGAGGAAGAAGGCAGACUAAAGAAAGAUGGUUGACGCUUCCUCAUGAUUAAAAUCAAUAUACGCAUUCCAGGUUGGAACAGAAGAAAUGCUGUAUUCCUCUGAGGACAUCACUUCUGAAGAGUGUUCUUCAGAAAAGUCCAACUUUGCAUUGAAACAAUGGAGCCUCCUGGAACUGCUUUAUCAUGGUGCGAAGAACUUGCAAGAAAAAGUGUUUGUUUUGAUUCAGAAGUCAGGAUUUAACUUCUUUUCCCUGAGAGCUCUUUGGGUGCUUUGACACUUUUGCUGUAUGUAAACUAGGUAUAUAUUUAUUUAUUGUUUAAAAUGAGGAUAACUUUGGAAAAUAUAAUGGCAUUCCACCUCAUACUGCCUCAUCUCAAAUAUUGCUUGUAGCAGAUAAUCUUAACUAUGAGUUAUGAAUAGCUUGGGUAUUGGAAUCAAGAACUUUUAUGCCAGGAAAGGUAGACCGUUUGAGUGUGUGUGAACGUAGCUUUACUGUCUCUGUAUCAAUUCACUUGUUUUAUUUUCAGUUUAGAAGUCCCUUGUGGCCGGGCGCGGUGGCUCAAGCCUGUAAUCCCAGCACUUUGGGAGGCCAAGACGGGCGGAUCACGAGGUCAGGAGAUCGAGACCAUCCUAGCUAACACGGUGAAACCCCGUCUCUAUUAAAAAAUACAAAAAACUAGCCUGGCGAGGUGGCGGGCGCCUGUAGUCCCAGCUACUCGGGAGGCUGAGGCAGGAGAAUGGCGUGAACCCGGGAGGCGGAGCUUGCAGUGAGCAGAUCCAGCCACUGCGCUCCAGCCCGGGUGACAGAGAGAGACUCCAAAAAAAAAAAAAAAAAAAAAAAGAAGUCCCUUGUAUGCUGAUUGUCAUCUGUCUUGCUUACAUUCAUUUACAGAAAAGAAAAAAUGACCAUAAAAUUAUUUUGUACAUUGAAAAACAUUACCUUUGACAAUCAGAUGUUUGAUGAAUACAUUUUGAUGUUGCAGCCAAGAGAAAACACAGUAAAGGUUCUUGCUCACACUUUCCCGUUGCUCCCUCUGCCUCCUGACUGCCUCACUCUUCCCCGUGUGACCUCUUCUCGUGGGAUCUAUGUAGUACCUGGAGCUGUGCAGCUGGUUUGUAACUAUAAGUUGAUGAACAGAGAUGUUGGGCCUGGCGCCAUGGAGCUGUUGAAGACACACCAAAAAAACAGUCUAUCUUUUGACUUCUAUUUUUUCGUGUGGAACAAAACUAUUGUUAAAAUGUUAUAGUUGAAUGUAGUUGAAUGCUUUGUUACUUGCAGCUAAAUACAUUCCUAACAAGUAAAGGAGAGAUUAUAACUAUAAUCUUAUUAUAACUGUCUAUAUUAGCUACUAACUGAAUAUAUUAUAUUUGGGAAAUAAUAAUUAUGGUAAUCUAAAUUAUUAACCCAGUUUUCUCCAAAAUAAUCUAAAUUGGUUUAAUAUGGGUAACUGAAAACAUACAAUAUGGUAAAUGAUGAAAUAAAUAAAUGUCAAAUAGGUGAGUGUGACAGAGAAUUAUUGAAAAUGUACUGUAUUUUAUUUUAGAAAUAAAAUCUGCUGUGUGUAUUCACUUUUGUGGUUAUUUCUCCCCCUUUUACCAUGGCUUCCCAUACCUAUAAAAAAUGAGUUCACACUAAUUAUCUGCAAAUGGGACUCAUCGCUACAGUGAAAUCGAGUCUCUCCUCGAUCCUAAUCCAAAUUUAACUGUAACCUAAAUGAUACCUGACAGAAAUAUGCAGAGGUCACAGAGUCCCUGCCUGUCAGAGACAUUAAUCAAACAAAUGUCAUUUGUGCAGUUCAGUAGCUUUAUAUAAGAAAAUUUAACUUAAACCUUAUAAAACAGUAAGAUUAAAUGAAAAUACAUACAAUGAAUUUAGAAUAAAAAGGCAAAACUCUAG